rnacentral:lncRNA from 1 species
CUGAGCACCAAUGGAAAAACUGUAAAAUUCCUUCCAGCUCUUCAUUUCUGUAAUUCUUUGCUUUGUUCCCAUCCCUGAAUGCCUGGAAGAUGUAAGAUAGUAAAAGAGAAUACUUUAUUGAACAAAGAUGCAGGUGUUAUUUAAUUUCGUUAUGUUUAAUUUAGAGUCUGCUCUUAAUGCUGUCUUAAUGGUGAAAUCAUCGUGCAUCAACAUGCUCUAAGCAGGGUUCUGGUACUUUCUGGGGAAAUUGGGUUGAGGUGCUAUUAUCACUAUUACUAUUCUUUUGAUGAUUAUUUCUCUCUUUUGUGUCCUUUCCGGGAUCCUGCUCCUUCUGUGGAUUAACAAGACAGCAUGUAGAAUCACAGCUCUUGUUUCAUGAAGUUUGUUAAGUAAUUUGAACAAAGGUGUGUUACACUAUUCCUUUUGUACAACCAGUUUAAUGUUUGCAAAAGAACUCAAGAUUUAAAAAACAAAUCUGUUGUGUCCACUCCAGUUUCCAGGUAAAUUUAUAUCAGGAAUCACAUGAGGAUACUUAAGACUGGCCGGUACUUUCAAGUUUUCUCCUGCCCAGAUCUGUUUGGAAGAAAUCUAGUCUUAUCUACCUCAAAAGUCCAGCAGAGAAUAAUAGCUGAAAUAAAUGAAGCCUGUGAUUACUUAGUUCUGUGUUUACCUAGACAUUCUGGCAUUUGGCUCAAAAGACAAAGCUUUUUAGAUGUGCUAUUUGAACCUGGUUUUGCUAUAGAUUUUAAAUUGGAAGAAAAAAUGGUAACAAAGUGAAGCUCUCUAAAUCAUACACAUUUGGGCUGACUACCAAGCUCGUCUCACCCAGCAGUACUAAUAGAAUGUGAAAAAUGCUUUCCAGAGAUGAGGUCUGCCACCUAGCAACCGCUUUGAAAUGCCUCCUGCACUGACCCAAGGCUACUCAAAAUGCCCAGUUUUGAAAUUGGUGGGACAUUUUGCUGUGUAUGGGCCACAGUCAUUGAAAGGAGGAUUAGAACUUUGUUUUUCAGGCCAAAGACAUGCAGAUUAGAAGGAUUGUUUAAUUUAACUGCUCAACUGGUUUGGAAAUAGAACUGGCAGAUUAAAUAUAGAUGAAAGAUGAUUACAUCGGAUAUACGCUAAAAAAAAAUCACUCAUUGUUUAUCUGAAAUUGAAAUUGAACUAAGCAUCCCGUAUUUUUAUUUGUUAAAACUGGCAAUCAAAUUUUGGAGAGACUUUUUUAGUACAGAGGUGAGGGAUAUUUGUAAAAUAUGCACUGUAAAUAUUAACUUGAUCCCCCAAGGCUCAUAACGUUGUAGACCUAGACACCUUUCUCAGAGCACUGGCUUGUGCCUGUGAAGAAGCCUGAAGCAUAGGAGACCAAAGGUGUGGGUAGGGCAGAAACUAACUAACAGAAGACAAGAAAUUGCUUCAAGUUUGCACUCAGGAAAGCUAUGCUGAAUGUAGGACAGGCAAACGAAGGGGUUGAGCACAGAAGGGCAGUGACAUCCCCCAGGCAGAAUGGUGGGUGGUGAGGAGAGGGAAGUGCCCAGAAAUGAGAAGGAAGUGGACGUGGCACGACAUCAGCAGUCAUUUUAUAUUUGGGGGAGAAGGGGUGAAGUGAAGCCAGCUACAUCAAUGUUCACUGUGAAGCCUGGGCUGAGGUGGGAGGGGUGUAGCCUGGGAUCCACUGGAGGGCAUUGCCACCUUCAUGCGGCAUCCCAGCAAUUCUCAGGCUGCUUGCACCAGCAAGGGAGCCAGCCUGGGAGUACAGAGGCUUUUUCAGGGACCCCCUUUCAGCUUCACCUGGCUCAGUUCUGAGCUUAUCAUUUUGUUAUCAGAGCCUCCUAUCCCCCAAAUCUGUAGCCUCCACUCACAAAAUUAACCUAGCAGUACAGAACAGUUAAAACAUAGAACCACGUACAUAAUCCCUAUGUGUUUGUGCAUAAUUCAAUACCUUCUGAAGAACACACAAGAAGCUGCUAACUGUGGCUGCGGCAGUAGAUGGCGAGUGGGUUGGAGGAGGUAGAUCCUGGAUGAAAGCAAGAUAUAUUUAUUCCAUAUAUCGUACAUGCUCAUCUAUUUAUUUUUCCUUGUGUAUGUAUUACUGACUCAAAAUGAAAUUUAAAUAUAAUUACUAUAGACAAAGCCAGCCCAGAAUCUGACUCACAUUUAAACUACUUGCAUCAUUGAUUUAAGGUGGCUCAUUACACUAAGGUGUUUUAAAAUAAAUAUUUUAUAUGGUUUUGUAUUAUUUAUAUGUUUGAGAGGCCUGGGGUCUGACAUUUUAGUGUGCUUUCUGGAAAAUUUGCUGCUGAAAUAAGGGAAAAAUCAAUAGCAACCCUGGACAAAAAGCUUUUGCUUAUCUUUUCAAGUAUUUACUCUGAGUUCUGUGCCAUGUUGGUUUUAUAUAUAGAUAUUUAAAAGUGCAAAAUGAAAGUUUGAUAGAAACCAAAGUCUUUUAUAGCAUUUUUUCUAAAUAAAAGCUAUAUGGAGUCCUCCUGUGUAAAUUCCAUUAGGCCAGGAGUCUCUGCCUCUUUUGUUCAGUAAUGGAUCUCUAGGACCUAAAGCCUUUCUUGGCAUAUAUUAGGUGCUCAGUAAAUAUUUGUUGAAUGAAGGAAUACAUAAUCAUUAUAAAAAUCCAAGCACUACAGAAAAAUAUGCCAUGGAACAUGUAAUCUUUUCUAAUGCCUUUCCUCCAAAUAAUCAUUACCCUAGUCUCUUAAAAUGAAAGAACAAAUCAUUUUCUGAGGUGUAAAAUUUCAUUAUAAAUAUAUUUUUUAAAAAUAAUUAUCAGCAGUUCGAGACCAGCCAAGCCAAUACAGUGAAACCUCAUCUCUACUAAAAAAUACAAAAAUUAGCCGGACAUGGUGGUGUGUGCCUGUAGUCCCAGCUACUCAGGAGGCUGAGGCAGGAAAAUCGCUUGAACCUGGGAGGUGGAGGUUGCAGUGAGCCGAGGUCGCGCCACUGCAUUCCAGCCUGGGCAACAGCAUGACACUCCCGUCUCAAAAAAUUAUAAUAAUAAUAAUUAAAUGGCACCAUAAAGAAUAAAAAGACAAGCAACAGAAUGGGACAAAAUGUUUGCGAAAGACUAGUAUUUAAAAUUACGUGAAGAACUCAUUACAAUCAAUUAGAAAAACGGACAAAACACUUGAGUACACACUUCAGAUAUGUUCCUGACCCUUCCUUCUUGAAGGGACAGCUGUGUAACCAUUCAACCAUCUGGCCAUCAGUUUCCACAUCUGUGAAAUCAACUUCUGCCUCAUGGAGCCGUGAGUUCCCAAGCAGUGAAGGCAGUGAGGGGCUGUGGUGUGAUCCAGGAGGCUGAGAAUUAUGCAGUGGGUGCUGUCACCUUGAAGACAUCAGCGUGAUCAGGCAGAUCAUCAUGGUACUGCAUUUCCUGGACACGAUCUUAAUUUUCUUAAUACCUCCACCGACAUUUCAAAUAGCGUCUCUAAUGCCCCAGAGACUUUUAUGCCCCUAAGGUAGUUUUCUUUCUUUUGUGAAGCAGAAGAAGGGAAAUUGUUAAAGGGAAUAUUUUAACUAAAUUUAUUUCCAUAAAACUAUCUUUGUCUUUAUAUCUCAUGGAAAGUGUUAGGUAGCCUCAGGAUUAUAUCUCCGUUGGAAAACUGUAGAUGUAAACCUUCUUGCUAUCUACAUACUUACAUAUUUUUCUGUUGUUAUUUACUUAUGAAUAGCAUUUUGAUUAUAGCAGAAAUAAAAUACAUUAAAUGACUAAGCUCAGAAAUAAGAAAAAAAGGUCAAUGGUGAUCAUUUAUUUGGAAACUAUGAUAUUUUAAUGAUAUUAAUGGUGUAAUUGACAUUUAGUUAAACAUAUUUCAUCGUAAGUAGAGCACUUUAACUCUUACGGUCCACUUAAAAUGUAAUCAUACGUUUAUGUAUUUCUAGUUAAUGUAUCAAACUCAACUGAGUAAUCAAUGUACAUCAUUUAUUUUGCUCCUAAGUUAAUACACUAAGUUAUGCUUUAAAAUUACUAAUUUGCUGCAAUAUCCAAUACUCUCUUUUAAGUCUUACGUCUGCAGAAAAGGAUAUAAACAUUUCAUGACACCAAACCCAAGUAUUUUUGAUGCCCUUGGCAGUGUCAGUUGAACAGACAGUGUCAUUUAAUGUUUGAGACAGCAUCUGAAUUCCUUUUAUUCUUAAAAUUCUAUUUUAAAAUGCAGUUUUUGGAAAGUUAAUGUGAAUAGAAAAAUUUCUAACAUUUUAUGUGCAUGUGUUUUGUUUGUUACAGGCUUAGCAUCUCAAAUCUGAAAAUUCGAAAUCUGAAAUGUUUCUAAAAUUCAACUCUUUUGAGUGCUGAUAUGACUUUCAAAGGAAAAGCUCAUUGGAGCAUUUCAGAUUUUGGAUUUUUGGAUUUGGGAUGUUUAACCAGGGUAAAAUAUAGAAUGCAAAUAUUCCAAAAUCUGAAUAAAAUUGAAAUCUGAAAUGCUUAUGGUUCCAAGCAUUUUGGAUAAGGGAUAAUUAAGCUGUAUAACUUAUAAAACUGAAUAUAACAAAAUUUCCCAACAUGUGGAAAAUGAUGUCUUUUUUCAAAAAUGUCAAUAGCAGAUACAUGGUACAGUAAGUUAGGGGAAAAAAUGAGGUUUCAUAUCUUCUAGUUUCCUAAUUAAAAGGAGCCCAUUCUGGGUUGGAAGAAAGUGUCAGUAAGAUCAUUUCUCCUAUUUGAAAAUCAUACAAAGCUUGUCAGAGUGACUCAGGCCAGGAGUGUAGCUGGGCGUGUAGCUAAAUGAUAUCUCCCCACAUCUAUAUAAUAAGCUGUUACCUGCUUUAAAAGGAAAAGCUCUCAGCAUGACUCUAAUGUUGCAUUUCUGGAAUACAGCUUGAAAAGCUCUUCUCAGGGUUGAACAGAGCAUGAAGGUAAUGGUUAUUAUCUACUCACAUUAAAAAAAAAAAAAAAGAAAGAAACCACCACAGAAAACUACUUACUGUCUUUAGGCUCUACUUUCAAAAGUGCCCUUUAUGAACGCUUUUACACUGUUGAUGGGAGUGUAAAUUAGUUCAACCAUUGUGGAAGACAGUGUGGUGAUUCCUCAAGGAUCUAGAAUCAGAAAUACCAUUUGACCCAGCAAUCCCAUUACUGGGUAUAUACCCAAAGGAUUAUAAAUCAUUCUAUUAUAAAGACACAUGCACACGUAUGUUUAUUGCAGCACUGUUCACAAUAGCAAAGACUUGGAACCAACCCAAAUGCCCAUCAAUGAUAGACUGGAUAAAGAAAUUGUGGCACAUACACACCAUGGAAUACUAUGCAGCCAUAAUAAAAGAUGAGUUCAUGUCCUUUGCAAGGACAUGGACAAAGCUGGAAACCAUCAUUCUCAGCAAACAAGAACAGAAAAUCAAACACUGCAUGUUCUCAGUCUAAGUGGGAGCUGAACAAUGAGAAAACAUGGACACAGAGA